CAGUAGCCACGGUAAUACGUAGGGUGCAAGCGUUAAUCGGAAUUACUAGGCGUAAAGCGUGCGCAGGCGGUUCUAUAAGACAGAUGUGAAAUCCCCGGGCUCAACCUGGGAACUGCAUUUGUGACUGUAGAGCUGGAGUGCGGCAGAGGGGGAUGGAAUUCCGCGUGUAGCAGUGAAAUGCGUAGAUAUGCGGAGGAACACCGAUGGCGAAGGCAAUCCCCUGGGCCUGCACUGACGCUCAUGCACGAAAGCGUGGGGAGCAAACAGGAUUAGAUACCCCGGUAGUCCCUGUCUCUUAUAA
rnacentral:rRNA from 1 species